GCUACCCCUGAAGCUUACUGUUAGUGGUCGAGUUUUUCUGGAAGUGGGCUUCCGCGAUCGCGGGGACCAACGCCCUGAGCUCUUGUGCCCAAAGGGGAUCGCCAGGUUUUUUGAUGCGGAUCGAAAGGGACUGGCCCCGGAGCCUACAACCUGACGCAGGUGGGACUUGGGGAAAUGUCGAGAAACCUAGGUCUGGGACUUGAGUUGGCUUCCAGGGCACACAUUCUUGUUCAGAAGAAACACAUUGCAAAAAUCGGGAGGUGACGGGCAGAUGAAGUGUCGGCGCUUCGCCUCGGGACUCCAGUGCAACCUAUGGGGCUUUUGGAAAUGAGGAAGUCGAUGACUCUGCAGGGACUCCUCUGACCCAGGAGCAGAUGGCGCUCGUCUGGGCACUCCCCAGGAGAAAAGGUGCAUCGGGAAGCAGCCUGGCUUGUGGAUGGUAAUAAGUCACUGUUGAUGGGUUGGGUGCAGGGAGGGAUUUAAGUUCUUGAGCGACAGAUGCUAGGGAGUUUACCUGCUCUGGAUAACAGUAUCUUGUGGAGGAUAGUCACCUGGAAAACAGAAAUGGCGUGACUGUGUUGAAUACACUGUUUGAUGAUUCUGGGCAUCAGGUGAAUAGGAAAUGUGUAACGUUAUGGAUGAGUGUGUGCUCAUCGGACAGUAGCAGUGCAUCUUAACAGUCGGCCUCUCAGUCCUCCUCUUCCUUAGAAUCACCUAUAGAGCUUUAAAAUUUCCUGGAUAAUGUUAAUGUGCAGCCAGCGAUGAUGACCAUUGGGCUACAGUCAAAUCCAAGAGGCGCAUCUCAUCCUUUGUUCUGAUGGACAGAAACCAUUAUUCUGACAUCGUGCCUGUUGGAGACAUUGUACCUUAACUAGCAUUUAAUUCAUGUGUGCUGGAUUCGCUGAAUGAAACUUACCAGCAGGGUACUGAAUCUUGAAUAAUACAAGGAACGAGUAGAAUAAGAUAGUUCUCAUUUUAUCCUUAUCUAAUCUAAGAAAUCUAGCAAUAUUUCUCUGUUUAAGUUUUUUUUCUUCAACAAAAAACAAAAUACAUGUAAGAGGAUUUUCUGA
rnacentral:lncRNA from 1 species